AUUGAACGCUGGCGGCAGGCCUAACACAUGCAAGUCGAACGGUAACAGGAAGCAGCUUGCUGCUUUGCUGACGAGUGGCGGACGGGUGAGUAAUGUCUGGGAAACUGCCCGAUGGAGGGGGAUAACUACUGGAAACGGUAGCUAAUACCGCAUAACGUCGCAAGACCAAAGAGGGGGACCUUAGGGCCUCUUGCCAUCGGAUGUGCCCAGAUGGGAUUAGCUAGUAGGUGGGGUAACGGCUCACCUAGGCGACGAUCCCUAGCUGGUCUGAGAGGAUGACCAGCCACACUGGAACUGAGACACGGUCCAGACUCCUACGGGAGGCAGCAGUGGGGAAUAUUGCACAAUGGGCGCAAGCCUGAUGCAGCCAUGCCGCGUGUAUGAAGAUGGCCUUCGGGUUGUAAAAUACUUUCAGCGGGGAGGAAGGGAGUAAAGUUAAUACCUUUGCUCAUUGACGUUACCCUCAGAAGAAGCACCGGCUAACUCCGUG
rnacentral:rRNA from 1 species